UUCGAUUCCAUCGUUCAGUACAUAGGUGAGUAUAAAUAGAAAAACUAUCAACUAAUACAGUUGUACGCAGCUAAUACACAACUAACUUCUAACUAAAUUUGGCGCCUAAAUCAUCUUAGCUGGGCUGAUCUGCUGAUGCCCAUAUGUUCCAAUACGCCCCCCUCAAGAUGGACUAUGGAGAUUGAUAAUAGCCAUCUUGGAGAGUAAAGGGAAGAAGAGAGAAGUUGGCAAAGCUUUAGUAAACAUAUCCGCCAACUGGUAAUGAGAACGUACAGGCAAUAAUUUGAUGAAACCAUCAGCCACCUUAUCACGAACAAAAUGACAAUCAAUCUCGAUAUGUUUUGUUCGUUCAUGGAAGAUAGGAUUGCUUGCAAUGUGGAUUGCAGCCUGGUUAUCACAAAAAAUCAGAGCUGGAGAUGAUGGAGAAAUCUGUAGAUCAAGGAGCAACUGAUGCAUCCAUGUUAACUCACUGGCAGUGGCUGCUAGUGCUCGAUAUUCAGCUUCCGCAGAUGAUCUGGAAACAGUCUGUUGCUUCUUAGCCUUCCAUGAAACAAGAGAGUCACCAAGAAAUACACAAAGUCCAGUGAUAGAUUUCCUCGAAUCAGGACAAGAACCCCAAUCCGCAUCAGCAAACGCACGUAGUUGCAGUGAAGAGGAGGCUGAAAAGAGCAAACCUUGGCCUGGGGCUGACUUAAGGAACCGCAAAAGAUGAUAAGCUGCAUCAAGGUGUGGUUGUCGAGGUUUGGAGACAAACUAAGUUUGUGUACAGUAAAAGUGAUGUCUGGGCGUGAGAUAGUUAAGUAGAGCAAGCGGCCAACAAGUCUGCGAUAGGAUGAAGCUGUUGUGUCAGAUAGUAAAUCACCAUCAACUGAGUUUAAACGAAUCUUAGGAUCCAUAGGCAAAGGGGCUGGCUUGCAGGCCAAAAACCCUGUAUCCUCCAGCAACUGCAAUGUAUAAUUCCUCUGAGAUAAACAUAUUCCUUUAUGUGAUCUUGCUAUUUCCAAACCAAGAAAGUACUUCAAUUUCCCCAAGUCCUUAAGUUUGAACUGACUAUGUAGAAAUGAUUUUAGAGAGGCAAUGGCAUUGAGAUCUGAACCUGUGAUGAUAAUAUCAUCGACAUAGACCAGCAAGGCAACAAAUGAAGAGCCUGAACCCUUUGUAAAUAGGGAAUAAUCGGUCUUGGAUUGAUGGAAACCGUGUGUAAUGAGAGCAUGGGAAAACUUGGAAAACCAUUGCCUAGAAGCCUGCCGAAGACCAUAAAUGGACUUGUGAAGCUUACAAACUGGUUUACCUCCUUUGAUGGCAUCAAUAGUCACAUUUGAAUACCCCUGAGGCAAAUCCAUAUAAAUCUCUUCAAAAAGAUCACCAUUCAAAAAGGCAUUAUUGACAUCCAAUUGAACAAGAUGCCAUUGAUUAAUGGCUGCAACAGCAAGUAAAGUUUUGACAGUGACCAACUUAGCAACAGGUGAAAAAGUGUCAAUAAAAUCCAAUCCUUCUUGUUGGGUAUAACCUUUGGCUACCAAACGUGCUUUAUACCUGUCUACACUUCCAUCAGGUCCAUAUUUGAUUUUAUAAACCCAUCUACAGCCAAUUGAAUGCUUUCCCUUGGGCAAACUGGUUAUGGUCCAAGUUUUGUUUAAUUCCAUGGCUGCCAAUUCAGCCACCAUUGCUUCCCUCCAGUGAUCAGAUACAACUGCCUGGUGGUAAAACUGUGGUUCAGUAUUUGAAGAAACAUUGAGUAGAAAGGUUCUAUGUGGGUGAGAAAAUGAUUUAUAUGAGAGAUAAUUGGACAAAGGAUAAACGGAGUUAUUAUAAGGAGGUGAUUGAUUUGUAAGCAGAUUGCAGUGAAAUUCACGAAGGUAAGAUGGAAGUUUACUCACCCUAGUUGUUCUUCUAGGUACAAAGUGCGAAGGCUGAUUGCAAUCAGGACUUUGACUACAAUCAGAGGUAGAAUUGGAAGAUUGUUCAAUGGUAGGUGAAUUAUUAUGUUCAAUCGUAUUGUCAUUGCUGACAGAAGUAUGUGAAUCUAAGGUGGAAUGAUGGAUGUAUGGAUCAGAUGUAAUGUGUGGUAAUACAAUAUCAGGGAAGGGAUCCAUCAAUUCUGAUGUUGGAGUUAUAGAAUGGAAAGGGAAAUAUUUUUCAUGGAAUACCACAUCCCUGGAAAUAAGGAAUGAUUUAGAGGAUAUAUCAUAAAGUUUAUACCCUUUAAUACCUGGAGGGUAACCAAGGAAAACACAGGCUUUGGCUCUAGGAUAGAAUUUGUUUCUAUGAGAAGGAAGUGUGGAUGCAAAGCAAAGGCUUCCAAACACCCUGAGCGAAGUGUAGUCGAAUGGAGUUCCAUAUAGCAAAGAGAAUGGGGUCAUGUUCUUGAGGAUUGGAGAUAGAGUUCUAUUGAUUAGAAAGGUAGCAGUAAGGACACAGUCGCCCCAGAAUUGAAUAGGCACUCUUGACUGAAAGAAUAGUGCUCGUGCCACAUUGAGAAGGUGUUGAUGUUUCCUUUCUACAACUGAGUUUUGCUGAGGCCUUUCAACACAAGAAUAUUGAUGUAUGACACCUUUUGAGCAAAACGAAGCUCUGGAGCAUGAUCAGAUCUAAACUUUUUAAUGACUGUAUGAAACUGAGUUUCAAUGAGGGCAAAGAACCUGGGAAUGAUAGAUUUCGCAUCUGAUUUAUGCUUCAUCAGAUAGACCCAUGUAAAACGCGUACAAUCAUCGACCAAUGUCAAAAAGAAUCUGUGGCCAGAACAUGUUGGGACAUGGUAUGGACCCCAGGUGUCACAAUGUAUCAAAUCAAAGGCAUUCUUAGAUAAAUGGUUGUUAGAUACAAAUGACUUGUCUCCUCUGUUUUGCCAAAGGACAAAUAUCACAUGGAGUUGCAUUGAAAUUUUUGUAACCAUUAUGUGUAAUUUUCAACUGUUCUUUCAUGAUGUCUAACCUUUGAAAGGAUAAAUGACCAAGCCUUUGAUGCCAAGUAUGUGAGGUCACAUUAUUUACAAUAGAGCAUACAGAAUUCUUACAGCCACUUAACAUAGACUUACAUGAUGCAGCAUCCAAUAUGUAGAGACCAUCCACUCUAUUACACUUACCAAUCACCUUCAUGUUGUCCAGAUUCUGAAUAGUACAGCAGUCAGGGAGAAAAGUGACAUUGAUAGAUGAAUUCCUAGUCAGUGAACUGAUAGACAAAAGGUUGAACUUAAAUUGAAGAACAUACAACACAUCCUCAAGGACCAAUUCAGGAGUUAUCUUCACUGUCCCAUUGAAAUUCACAGGUAUUCUUUCAUGAUUUGGCAGUGUGACGUGGGCAUUCUUGAUUGGUCUUAAUGUAUGAAAGGCUGACCGAUUGAAACAUACAUGGCUUGUGGCUCCAGAAUCCAUUACCCAGUAUAUAUGAGAAUUCAACAUUGGAUUGAAAGAUACAGAAAAACAAGUACCUGAGAUGUGAUUAGACUUAUUUUUGCCUGUCUCAGUACUGGUCUUUGCAUUUGUGCGAUAAUUGCUCAGCAUCUUCAUCAGCUGCUGGUAUUGAUUAUGAUUCAGGGUCUGCAGAAAUUUGUCAACAUUACAACCGGCUUGUUCUGGAAACGAGUCAGAAACCUGAUUGACUGCACCAUGAUUUACUCGCCGAUUAGAUCCAAGUUCGGAUUUCUUUC
rnacentral:lncRNA from 1 species